AAGUCGUAACAAGGUUUCCGUAGGUGAACCUGCGGAAGGAUCAUUAUUGAAAUAGCAUGACGAGUUGUCGCUGGUCUUUUCUUUGACCGUGCACGCUCUGUCGUUCUUCAUUUCUCCAUCUUAUUGUGCACCUCUUGCGUAGACCUUUUCUGAGGGCUUUCCUCGGGUCGUUAGGACUGCUUUGCAAAAAAAUGAAUUUUGUGGGCUUUCCUUGUCGCUACCACACAUACACCAGUGUAAUUGUUUAGAAGGAAAUGGAAUUUGAUGCAUAAUACAA
rnacentral:misc_RNA from 1 species